CAAUAGCGUAUAUUUAAGUUGUUGCAGUUAAAAAGCUCGUAGUUGGAUUUCGGUUGAGAGCGGCCGGUCCGCCGUUUGGUGUGCACUGGCUGGUUUCAACUUCCUGUAGAGGACGCGCUUUGGGCUUAACGGUCUGAACGUGGAGUCUACGUGGUUACUUUGAAAAAAUUAGAGUGUUCAAAGCGGGCUUACGCUUGAAUAUUUCAGCAUGGAAUAACACUAUAGGACUCCUGUCCUAUUUCGCUGGUCUCGGGACGGGAGUAAUGAUUAAGAGGAACAGUUGGGGGCAUUCGUAUUUCAUUGUUAGAGGUGAAAUUCUUGGAUUUAUGAAAGACGAACUUCUGCGAAAGCAUUUGCCAAGGAUGUUUUCAUUAA
rnacentral:rRNA from 1 species